AAUCAACGCUGGCGGCGUGCCUCAGACAUGCAAGUCGAACGAUUAAAGCUCCCUUCGGGGAGUGCAUAAAGUGGCGCACGGGUGAGUAACACGUAAGUAAUCUACCCUCGAGUGGGGAAUAACAACCGGAAACGGUUGCUAAUACCGCAUAAUGCAGCGGCACCGCAAGGUGACAGUUGUUAAAGGAGUAAUUCGCUUGAGGAGGAGCUUGCGGCAGAUUAGCUUGNGGUAAGGUAACGGCUUACCAAGGCUACGAUCUGUAUCCGGUCUAAGAGGACGGUCGGACACACUGACACUGAAUAACGGGUCAGACUCCUACGGGAGGCAGCAGUCGGGAAUUUUGGGCAAUGGGCGAAAGCCUGACCCAGCAACGCCGCGUGAAGGAUGAAGUAUUUCGGUAUGUAAACUUCGAAAGAAUAGGAAGAAUAAAUGACGGUACUAUUUAUAAGCUCCGGCUAACUACGUGCCAGCCGCCGCCGUAAG
rnacentral:rRNA from 1 species